CGAGUCGUCAAGGUUACGCAAAGCUGUGAGAACGAGGUGUGAGAAGUUCUGUAGACAGAUGAGAAAAAGAUCUCUCUCCAAUUUGGAGAGACAUGGAUUUGACAGACAGACUACUCAAUGGUUCAAAGGUGCUGAAGUAACAUGAGGGCUGAAUUGCAACUCUUCAGUGUGGUAUCGUCAAAGGAUGAAACUAAAGGAAGACUGUUUCACCAAAAAGUCUUAUUUGUACGUGUCCAAGGGAUGAAAUACCGGGAAACAAACAUAAGCACUGUUUACACCUGACAAUGUAUGCAGGUAAAUUGCAUCUGAUGCGUCUUCAGUUGCAGCAAUUGUUGAUAACCUUCAUGACAACAUAAAGUUUUUGUUGUUAUUUUGUUGUUAUUUCUGGAAUGUAAACCAUUCGUAUAGAAAUGGCUAUAAAAAGAUACAGCUUCAAACG
rnacentral:lncRNA from 1 species